rnacentral:rRNA from 1 species
CCUACGGGAGGCUGCAGUGGGGAAUAUUGCACAAUGGGCGAAAGUCUGAUGCAGCAACGCCGCGUGAAGGAAGAAGGGUUUCGGCUCGUAAACUUCUAUCAACAGGGACGAAAGACAUGACGGUCCCUGAAUCAGAAGCCCCGGCUAACUACGUGCCAGCAGCCGCGGUAAUACGUAGGGGGCAAGCGUUAUCCGGAAUUACUGGGUGUAAGGGGUGAGUAGGCGGCAUGGUAAGCCAGAUGUGAAAGCCUUGGGCUUAACCCGAGGAUUGCAUUUGGAACUAUCAAGCUAGAGUACAGGAGAGGAAAGCGGAAUUCCUAGUGUAGCGGUGAAAUGCGUAGAUAUUAGGAAGAACACCAGUGGCGAAGGCGGCUUUCUGGACUGAAACUGACGCUGAGGCACGAAAGCGUGGGGAGCGAACAGGAUUAGAUACCCUAGUAGUC